rnacentral:lncRNA from 1 species
UCAUGAAAUGUUUAUUUUUUAUUAUCUACUCAUAUUGCACGUUCUAAGAUCGUUGAAAAAAAUGUUUGCGGGUUGCGUAUUUUUUUGUUUUAUGAAGCACUUGGCGUAUUUUCGUAAUAGGAAAAUAAAAUUUACAAAAGUUUCAUAGUCAAAAAAUCGAAUAUAAGUAUCGACUGAAACGAAAUGAAAAACUGCAGUUCCAUGUAUUCCCGACAAUUUCGUAAUGCAAAAUAAGGUUGCGCGAACGCUGCGCAAGAUGGCGUAUCUCAUCGCGCGGUGUACCGCCAGAGUCCAGACUCCAGUGUUCAGAGUUCAGACUAUCGUCACGUGCAACCGGCUGCUGAGUUAACAUGAAAGUUUUGCACAGAAUCAAUACCUUGAAACUGCUGCGGUGCUGACGAAAUGAAACAAAACAGCUAAAAUAUGUCUCCUAUUCUCACCAAGGGGCUUUCAUGGCUUGCCUUGGGUAUAACAUGAUUCUUAUUGUAAAAAUUGGUUUACAAUGCUUUAUUUUUUCAACGGUAUAUAAUUUAUUUGUGUAACAUGAAUGAAUUUUAUAAGCUGUACCAUGUAUGGAUAUUUCAUUUCGAGGAAAAUCUGGUAUGGAUAAAACAACUGUAGUUGUAUUAGCCACUUGCAACAGUUUUAAUUGAUAGAGGAUCAGGUUUAUAUUUCACAUGCUCACAUGUCAUACUUGAGAACUUGCACUUGAAAUAUGCAAAGAGUAUGGAACGUUUAGAUCUCGGUGUUCUUUGGUCGUACGUUUAUUGAAGUACAUAAGGCUAAUUGAAAUUAUAGCCUUCAGUGCACUUUGUUCAUACGCUUAUUGAAGAAGAUAAGCCUAAUUACAAUUAAGCCUAAUUACAAUAGAUCUCGGUGUUCUUUGUUCAUACAUUUAUUGAAGUACAUAAGGCUAAUUGAAAUUAUAGCCUUCAGUGCACUUUGGUCGUACGCUUAUUGAAGAAGAUAAGCCUAAUUACAAUUAUAGAUCUCGGUGUUCUUUGUUCAUACAUUUAUUGAAGUACAUAAGGCUAAUUGAAAUUAUAGUGCCCGAUUAAGGGUUCGUGCGGCCCGGGGCUAAAAUUCGAAGACGGCCCCCUUAAAAGUAAAAACAUAAAAUCUGAGUGAUUAAAAAACUCCGGUUACCCAAGAGUCCAUGAACCAAGUGACAUUUUAUGUGGAUUUGUAAAAAAAA